GCGGGUAUAGUUUAGUGGUAAAAGUGUGAUUCGUUCUAUUAAUAACUGAAUUUGAAAUGAUAUACUUAAGCCAUCCUUAAGUUUUUUUAUAUUGAUGCGGGUUCGAUUCCCGCUACCCGCUCCA
rnacentral:tRNA from 1 species